ACAUGCCUACGACAUAGUUUUAAUGCACUGGAUCCCAUUAAAACUAUGCAGUUAGGCACACUCAAGCUAGCAUAGUACUGGGAUGUGUGACCGCUCGGGAAGUCCUAGUGUUUUACAUGCC
rnacentral:rRNA from 1 species